rnacentral:rRNA from 1 species
GAUGAACGCUGGCGGCGUGCCUAAUACAUGCAAGUCGAGCGAACAGACGAGGAGCUUGCUCCUCUGACGUUAGCGGCGGACGGGUGAGUAACACGUGGAUAACCUACCUAUAAGACUGGGAUAACUUCGGGAAACCGGAGCUAAUACCGGAUAAUAUAUUGAACCGCAUGGUUCAAUAGUGAAAGACGGUUUUGCUGUCACUUAUAGAUGGAUCCGCGCCGCAUUAGCUAGUUGGUAGGGUAACGGCUUACCAAGGCAACGAUGCGUAGCCGACCUGAGAGGGUGAUUGGCCACACUGGAACUGAGACACGGUCCAGACUCCUACGGGAGGCAGCAGUAGGGAAUCUUCCGCAAUGCGCGAAAGCCUGACGGAGCAACGCCGCGUGAGUGAUGAAGGUCUUCGGAUCGUAAAACUCUGUUAUUAGGGAAGAAAAAAUGUGUAAGUAACUAUGCACGUCUUGACGGUACCUAAUCAGAAAGCCACGGCUAACUACGUG